UAUGUGACGAAUAUGACGGUAGCAUAUGAAUAAGGAUCGGCUAACUCCGUGCCAGCAGCCGCGGUCGUACGGAGGAUCCAAGCGUUAUCCGGAAUUACUGGGCGUAAAGAGUUGCGUAGGUGGCAGAGUGUGUCGGUAGUGAAAGCGUGUGGCUCAACCAUAUAUACAUUACCGAAACUGCUCAGCUAGAGGGCGAGAGAGGUUACUGGAAUUCCCAGUGUAGGAGUGAAAUCCGUAGAUAUUGG
rnacentral:rRNA from 1 species